GAUCAUGUGCGUCGGUUCAAGGCUGGAACAAAAACGUGGGCUGUACUUUAAGUACUUUCCCAAACACAGUUGUCGCGCAGACUGGCUCAACAUAAGUAGGCUUUGAUUGCAGCCUCAGCGUUACAUUCAAAUCUCCCUACCAUCACAUCACAGCCAAUACGACACCAAUGUCCGUGACAACUGGAAUUCGUCCUGAUUGGAGGUACACAACACACUCCCUGCCUCUCGUCAUGAGGUGGACGUGACAGUCCGGGUGUUACCUAGAACCACAUACUGGAUUUUUAACAAGGUCGUUAGCAUGAGGCUCAAUAUCUAGGUUUCCAUGAAGUGACCAUCGACUUGCCACCUACUGAAUAAGUUUGUAGGGGGCAAACAGUUUGAUUAAAUAUGUAAUUUAUCGCUCUCACAUGCUCAUUUCUGUCCAUGAAGAACCGAAGAUGUGCUUCCUAUUUGUAGCAUUUCUGACAUUGCUAAUAUGUUUAUUUAUUUUACAUCCAAAGCUCAGUUCUGACACUGGAUCUCAACUCAGUUGCUUGGCAACAACACAGUUAAUACUAAAUGACAAAAGCCUGCUCGUCGAACAUCUCAUUCCACAAUCAUGGGCAUUAAUAUAGAGUUGUUCCCCCUCAUUGCUGCUAUAACAGCCUCCAGUCUUCUGGGAAGGCUUUCCACUAGAUGUUGGAACAUUACUGCUAUAACAGCCUCCACUCUUCUGGGAAGGCUUUCCACUAGAUGUUGGAACAUUACUGCUAUAACAGCCUCCAGUCUUCUGGGAAGGCUUUCCACUAGAUGUUGGAACAUUGCUGCUAUAACAGCCUCCACUCUUCUGGGAAGGCGUUCCACUAGAUGUUUGAACAUUGCUGCUAUAACAGCCUCCACUCUUCUGGGAAGGCUUUCCACUAGAUGUUGGAACAUUCCUGCUAUAACAGCCUCCAGUCUUCUGGGAAGGCUUUCCACUAGAUGUUGGAACAUUGCUGCUAUAACAGCCUCUACUCUUCUGGGAAGGCUUUCCACUAGAUGUUGGAACAUUGCUGCUAUAACAGCCUCCACUCUUCUGGGAAGGUUUUCCACUAGAUGUUGGAACAUUGCUGCUAUAACAGCCUCCACUCUUCUGGGAAGGCUUUCCACUAGAUGUUGGAACAUUGCUGCUAUAACAGCCUCCACUCUUCUGGGAAGGCUUUCCACUAGAUGUUGGAACAUUGCUGCGGGGACUUGCUUCCAUUCAGCCACAAGAGCAUUAGUGAGGUCGGGCACUGAUGUUGGGCGAUUAGGCCUGACUCACAGCUGGCGUUCCAAUUCAUCCCAAAGUUGUUUGAUGAGGUUGAGGUCAGACCUUUGUGCAGGCCAGUCAAGUUCUUCCACGCCGAACUCGACAAACCACUUUUAUAUGGACUUGUCAUGAUGGAACAGGAGAGGGCAAACUUCAAAUGGCUAUCUAACAUGACAUGUCAACAGACAAACACAGCCUCAGUGGUACACACUGACUGCAUGCUUGGUAGCAUCAGAAAAAAUAAACAGUUUCUAACAUCCAUAAUACAUUCCAGUACGCUGCUUCUCCUGUUUUCUUGACAUUUUAAUCCGAAUGUGUGCUGAUUUUAACCGUGCCAAACGAAACAACUCUGCCAGGCGUUGGAUAUUUGUCAACAACUCUGCUACGCAAGGCCAUUCCAGUGGCACGGCUCAGGCUUUUCAUGUGGAAAUCUUGUAUAAUGCACAUUUAACAGAGAAUCUACUUCCAGUGUAAAAACCAUGACAAUUCAAAAAUAAAUAAUAAUAAAUCAAUUUAAAACAUUUAGAAGUAAGCAUUGGUCUGAAGAAAGGAAAUUCCCAUGAGCACCACGAAGCCUCCUCCACCCAUGCUCUACCAAGGUUUUACAGCACCACGAUGCCUAGUCCACCCAUGCUCUACCAAGGUUUUACAGCACCACGAUGCCUAGUCCACCCAUGCUCUACCAAGGUUUUACAGCACCACGAUGCCUAGUCCACCCAUGCUCUACCAAGGUUUUACAGCACCACGAUGCCUAGUCCACCCAUGCUCUACCAAGGUUUUACAGCACCACGAUGCCUAGUCCACCCAUGCUCUACCAAGGUUUUACAGCACCACGAUGCCUAGUCCACCCAUGCUCUACCAAGGUUUUACAGCACCACGAUGCCUAGUCCACCCAUGCUCUACCAAGGUUUUACAGCACCACGAUGCCUAGUCCACCCAUGCUCUACCAAGGUUUUACAGCACCACGAUGCCUAGUCCACCCAUGCUCUACCAAGGUUUUACAGCACCACGAUGCCUAGUCCACCCAUGCUCUACCAAGGUUUUACAGCACCACGAUGCCUAGUCCACCCAUGCUCUACCAAGGUUUUACAGCACCACGAUGCCUAGUCCACCCAUGCUCUACCAAGGUUUUACAGCACCACGAUGCCUAGUCCACCCAUGCUCUACCAAGGUUUUACAGCACCACGAUGCCUAGUCCACCCAUGCUCUACCAAGGUUUUACAGCACCACGAUGCCUAGUCCACCCAUGCUCUACCAAGGUUUUACAGCACCACAAUGCCUAGUCCACCCAUGCUCUACCAAGGUUUUACAGCACCACAAUGCCUAGUCCACCCAUGCUCUACCAAGGUUUUACAGCACCACGAUGCCUAGUCCACCCAUGCUCUACCAAGGUUUUACAGCACCACGAUGCCUAGUCCACCCAUGCUCUACUAAGGAUUUCCAGCACAGCUUUGACCUGCUACAGUAGCUAUGUUGCUCUAUUGUAAUUUAAACAAUGUGUAUGCAGGUUGCUUAGGAUUCAAAACCUUCUCAAACUGUAUUGUGGUGCUCAUGUGAAUUUCCUUUUAUUUUUCAACCUCAGACCAAUGCCUACUUCUCACUUAAAACGUGGUCCUUCUGUAGCUCAGCAUGGCGCUUGUAACGCCAGGGUAGUGGGUUCGAUUCCCGGGACCACCCAUACGUAGAAUGUAUGCACACAUGACUGUAAGUCGCUUUGGAUAAAAGCGUCUGCUAAAUGGCAUAUAUUAUUAUAUUAUUAUUAUUAGUUUAAAAAAAAGGUGCAUUAGUGAGUGAU